rnacentral:rRNA from 1 species
AUGUCGGGGUGCUCGCAUCACCCAAGGUUGUCAGGCCCAUCGCGCUCAACUUCGAGGAGAGGACGCCCGUCAAGGAGCGGCCCUCGCGAGCUCGGCGUCGAGGAGAGGUCCAUCGCCACUGAUGAAUAUCGUGAGCGAGCCAGCGGUCGUGCGUGCGUCAGGACACGCUCGUCAAGGACCCCCACCCCCUUCCUUCCUUGUGCUCGGCCAUGCCUAGCAGCAAGGAGGAGGAUCUACUACCCUACGGAAGGGAAGGAAGAGGCCGCCGGCGAGCGAAGCACGGCCACGGCGUUGGACUCGCCGGGGACGGCUGCUCCUCCUGAGCUCUCCUUUUUGUCCAUUUUUGUUCACUACUACCUGAAGGAAACUGUACUGGAUAGCUGCAGUAGAAACUGUACUAUGGAAGGGAGGGUGAGCGAUUCUGGGAAAUUCCUUGUGGCCGUGAAAGGCUUGGAUGCCAUACUGAUUGUAGUGCAAUGA